CNAUGCNUNGANCNAUCACAGUCAGGAACGACUGCUAAGCCCCGAUGUACCGAAAGGGAAAAUAUUUAUAGCCUGAAGAUGAGCUCGCGUCCGAUUAGCUAGUUGGGGGGGUAAAGGCCCACCAAGGCGACCAUCGGUAGCUGGUCUGAUAGGACUAUCAGCCACACUGGGACUGAGACACGGCCCAUACUCCUACGGGAGGCAGCAGUGGGGAAUUUUCCGCAAUGGGCGAAAGCCUGACGGAACAAGACCGCGUGGGGGAAGAAGGCUCUUGGGUUGUAAACCCCUUUUCUCUGGGAAGAAAGUUGUGAAAGCAACCUGACGGUACCAGAGGAAUCUCCAUCGGCUAACUCCGUGCCAGCAGCCGCGGUAAGACGGAGGAUGCAAGCGUUAUCCGGAAUGAUUGGGCGUAAAGCGUCCGCAGGUGGCAGUUCAAGUCUGCUGUCAAAGACCGGGGCUUAACUUCCGAAAGGCAGUGGAAACUGAACAGCUAGAGUAUGGUAGGGGCAGAGGGAAUUCCUGGUGUACCGGUGAAAUGCGUAAAGAUCAGGAAGAACAUCGGUGGCGAAGGCGCUCUGCUGGACCAUAACUGACACUCAUGGACGAAAGCUAGGGGAGCGAAUGGGAUUAGAUACCCCCGUAUUCCACACGCGUUACCNCCCCUCCCG
rnacentral:rRNA from 1 species